rnacentral:rRNA from 1 species
UGAUGAAGGUUUUCGGAUCGUAAAGCUCUGUUGUUAGGGAAGAACAAGUGCAAGAGUAACUGCUUGCACCUUGACGGUACCUAACCAGAAAGCCACGGCUAACUACGUGCCAGCAGCCGCGGUAAUACGUAGGUGGCAAGCGUUGUCCGGAAUUAUUGGGCGUAAAGGGCUCGCAGGCGGUUUCUUAAGUCUGAUGUGAAAGCCCCCGGCUCAACCGGGGAGGGUCAUUGGAAACUGGGAAACUUGAGUGCAGAAGAGGAGAGUGGAAUUCCACGUGUAGCGGUGAAAUGCGUAGAGAUGUGGAGGAACACCAGUGGCGAAGGCGACUCUCUGGUCUGUAACUGACGCUGAGGAGCGAAAGCGUGGGGAGCGAACAGGAUUAGAUACCCUGGUAGUCCACGCCGUAAACGAUGAGUGCUAAGUGUUAGGGGGUUUCCGCCCCUUAGUGCUGCAGCUAACGCAUUAAGCACUCCGCCUGGGGAGUACGGUCGCAAGACUGAAACUCAAAGGAAUUGACGGGGGCCCGCACAAGCGGUGGAGCAUGUGGUUUAAUUCGAAGCAACGCGAAGAACCUUACCAGGUCUUGACAUCCUCUGAC